AAUAAACCAAUUUUUCACUUUUUACCUUCAAUUUUUUAUUCUUCUUUUUAUUUAAAUUUUUUUGCGAUUGAUAUUUUUGUUUUUAUUAUAUGAUAAAUCAUAAAUAGUACUUUAUGUGUGAUUAAUUUUUUUCUAAUUUCUUAAAAAUUUUUCAAAUAAAACAGAUGAUUAAACGUCGGACACGAAACCGGAC
rnacentral:pre_miRNA from 1 species